AUUAUUUUUAUUUUAAUUUCUUUAAAAACAAAUCUCAUUGGUUUGUUAAAGAUUAUUUAAAUUAUUUAUUUUUAUUUUUCUAAUUUAGAGAAAGGUUAGGAAAUCCCAAAAUUUUGCUCACGUUCCUCCAUUUUCUCAUCCUCUCUCUCACGUCAGUCACUCUCUCUCUUUUCCAAUUCUAAAUUUGUGUUUCCUUUUUGCCAUUAAUUUUUCUUCUUGAUUCUUAAUUUUGUUGUUUUUUCUUUGGUUGCUACUGCUCACUUGCUGCAAGGGUUUCACUAUUUUUGAGUCAUUCCUUUUGUUACAAGAAUUUUUGCCGAUUUCCGCUUCUCAAGACUUUGUUUGUGUUCUUGUUUCGUUCAAUCAGGAUCUUUAGGGUACUUGUGUAAAUUGAGUUUUCAGUUCGGUUUGGUGGUGACGAAUCAGUCGAUUCUUGGUGCUGGGAAUAGCAUAUUUCAGGUGUGUUUCUCAAACAUUAGUAAUUAGGGAUGAGUUUUGUGGUCCUGUUCAAUUUUUGCAGUUUUCACUCUUUAUUCGCAAAUUGACUCGUUUGGGUCCCCGAGAAAUCCGUUGCUCGUUUAAACCUCUGUAGGAGUGUGGGACUUCGUUAAGUUAUAUCAUAUGUGUGUUGCACUUAAGUCAUAUCAAGCUACCAUGCCGUGUUUGUAUACUAAUUUUACACUAAAUAUGUCGAUGUUGUUUGUCAUUUUGUGCUGGAAUGGGCUGUUGUUCGCAUGUUGAUUUUUCGUGAAAAUACCCUACCGUUGUAAUAAACAUUUUGCUGCUAUUUUUGUUGAGUAAAUGUCGCAUAUGUGUGCACAUUUUGUUGUUGUUCUUGUUGAGUAAAAUGCCGCAUAUGUGCGCACAUCUGCUGCUGCUUUUUGAUGAGUUUAAUGAUGCAUAUAUGAGCCUAGUUGUUGUUGUUUUUAGUACGUAAAAUGCCACAUAUGUGGUUGGUUUUUGCUGUUGUUUUGGUGCGUAAACAUUGUGCAUAUAUGUGAAGUGGGCUACUGAUUUCUUAUUUGGGAACAUGUGUGAUUUAAGUAUGUUGUUUUUGUGAUAAGUUUGUUCGCUGAAUUAUAACUAUAGCAUGAUAUGUUACUAUGUAUGUAUGACAUUUCGUAUCUGCAUUUGGGUUUGGGUUUUGUUUGAAGAGAAGGAAGCUUGAUUUGGCAGUAUUAUUGCGUUAUUAAAAUAUGGCAGGGAUAUCGCAAUCAUAUUAGCAGCUUGACUGCAUAAUAACUCGAGUGGAAAAUGACCACAAUAAGGUGUGUUCGGUUGGAUGGGUCCACCAUAACUCAUAUAUUGAUGUGUAGAGGUUGGAAAGGGUUAGUAUACCCUAUUUGGUGUGUGACAGAUGGUUGAAAAUGGUGUGUAGAGGCUAGAUAGGUUGAUAUUGGGACUGGUACAUGUGUGUAUGAAUUAUAUUUGUUCUGUUUUUGAGUAAGUACUUCACUUAUGAUUGUCUGAUUAUGAAAUGAGCUAAGCAAUUGCAAGUGUGAGAGCAACUUCACGUGAUUACAUUUUGCAUAUUCGUUAUGUGAUAUGAUAAUGUGAUACGUCAAACUGUUAUGAUUUCUGUUAAUGUUAUGAUUAAGUUAAUUUUAAUUCCAAACA